rnacentral:rRNA from 1 species
AUUGAACGCUGGCGGAAUGCUUUACACAUGCAAGUCGAACGGCAGCACGGACUUCGGUCUGGUGGCGAGUGGCGAACGGGUGAGUAACAUAUCGGAACGUAUCCAAUAAUGGGGGAUAACUAAUCGAAAGGUUGGCUAAUACCGCAUACGCCCUAUGGGGGAAAGCUAGGGACCUUCGGGCCUGGCGUUAAUGGAGCGGCCGAUAUCUGAUUAGCUAGUUGGUGGGGUAAAGGCCCACCAAGGCGACGAUCAUUAGCUGGUCUGAGAGGACGAGCAGCCACACUGGAACGGAGACACGGUCCAGACUCCUACGGGAGGCAGCAGUGGGGAAUUUUGGACAAUGGGCGCAAGCCUGAUCCAGCCAUUCCGCGUGAGUGAAGAAGGCCUUCGGGUUGCAAAGCUCUUUCGCAAGGGAAGAAAACUUAGCCACUAACAUUGGCUGAGGUUGACGGUACCUUGAUAAGAAGCACCGGCUAACUACGUGCCAGCCGCCGCGGUAA